UGGGCAGUCCUCCAGCGUCAGAUGACACAACGUCAGUCAAGUUUUCAAAACAACAUCGGUGUGGUGCUGGGGGGAGAAUAAGAAGAAAACGAUGAUGACUUCAACUGUGGCAGAGAGAGCCAUGGGGGCAAUCCUUGGAGCAGCUGUGGCAGACGCAGCAGCCCAGCCCAUGCAUUGGAUUUACAACCCAGAGCGACUGAAGGAGGUUCUGUCAGACCUGGAACCAUGUCCAGAGUUCCGCCCUCAGUCUGCUAACCCGUUCUACCUCAGAGAGACCGGAGAGCAGACGUGCUACGGAGACCAGGCCUACGUACUGCUAGAGUCACUCAGUCAAUGUGGAGAUGUGAACGUGGAGGACUUGACCAAGCGCAUCUACAAGUUCUUUGGCCCUGACACUGUGUAUGAUCUUCCUCUCAAUAACCCAUACAGACAAAAGAACGGUCCUAAAGCUGUCCUGCCCAUUGAUGGCCCUUGGAGAAACGCAAGCCUCAAAGCCUUCAUGAGGAACGUGGAUGCAGGAAACGAAAAGACAGGAUGUGAUGUGGACUGUCAGAUGGACGGGGUCACCAAGAUGGCUCCCGUUGUGGCGAUGUUUGCUGGGAUGCCGGAGAUGUUGGAGAAGGUGGAGACGGCCAUACGUGUAACCCAGAACAACGAUAUGUGUGUGGCCAUGACACUGGCUGCAGCAAGGUUCCUGGAGCAUUUCAUCCUGAAUGGUUCUGACCCCAAUGCUCUGGACUCAGUGUUGGCCCAGCUCAACGACCCAAACAGAAACAACCCUCAGGACCUGGACAGGGAUGUUAUUGCACAAAUCUGUCAGGUGAAGGACAACUUAUCCAAGCAUUCCCCAGAGCUGAUACCUGCUGUGUUCACUAACACAUGAGCCUUGCCAGGUGCAUUCCAGGGAGCACUGCACGGGGUCCUGACAAUGAGCCAGCUGGAGGAGGCAGUCAGGGGAACCAUGCGCCACGGGGGAUGCACCGCCAGUAGGGCCUCAUUCAUAGGGGCCUGUUUUGGAGCACAGACAGGUCUUCAGGGAAUCCCAGAGUCUUGGAAGAACAGGACCCUCAAAUAUCCUGUGCUGCUGGGACUGGCUAAGAAAGUUGUAGGCUCACAGCAAGCCUAGACUUGGCACAUCGCGUUAAAGGCAGUUAUGCAAAUGUAUUUACUAAAUUAAUGUAUUGCUAAAGCUGAUUAACAUAACCAGUCCAACAUAUUAUUUGGGAAUAUGAAUUAUGUAUUGAUGAUGUUUUUUGGUAGUUUUUUUUGCUUUGUAAGUCCAUUUUAUAACACAGUUGUACUUUGACAAAACAGUUUAUGAAAGUUACAUUCUAAAGUAACAUUUGACGGAUGUAACUUGAACCUUGUUGCUCUGUCACAGCUGCAGUAUGUUGCAAAAUGAUGAGUAUAUGGAAUAUGGAAUAGUCUUGUCGUGUAUACAUUAGGAUUAAAAGAGGAAGGAUACUUGUGAACCAUUUUUGAGGUAACUGAGUACAUCAAAUGAAUUAACAUAGCAUCUCAACUAAAUGAGGAGGAUUACAAAUAGCAUGUGUGUGUUGUGGUGCUUGCAUGUAUAGGAAAGUAUUAACUUAUCGCAUAUUGCAGUUGUUUACUUCACCUUAGCUACAGCUCUGAAAUGCUGUCUCUAUGGUUUUGGGUGGUUUUUCAGUUGAAAUAACCUCUGCUCCGGUUAGAGAAACUGAGGGCUUGCAAUAAUUUAAAGAACAGAAAUGUAUUUUGCAAAAGAGGAAAUGAAUUUCAGCGAGUUUCAAUACUCUCUAUCUCUUUCUCUCUCUGGCAUGGGUUCUGUUGAAGUGAAAUAACAGAGACACAAAGAUUUACCGUGCUGAAACAACUGAAGGGACUGCAACUUAUCCCUCCCUCAAAGGAGUUAGUCUGUUUUCUUAAAAUUGCUGACUUCCAUAUUACCAUGUUCUCAAUGGCUCCUCUGAUGAUUUUGAAUGUACUCUCUGCAUAAAAUGAAGCCAAUGUCUUAA